ACAUCUUGUCUAUCAAUAACAUGUUUAACUAUAUAUUAUAUCAAUAUGCUCAAGAAAUCAGGCCUUGGUAAAGAUUUUUCUUUUUUUUUUUUUUUUUUGGGACGGAGUCUCGCUCGAUAAAUAUAAAUAAUAAGUCAUAUUAAGACAAAAUUUAUUUAACUGAUAAAAGUAAAAUUUGUUAUUCUCUCUAGCUGUAUAGAUAAGACAGGAUCUCUAUAGUGCAUUAUUUCAAGACUUACUUAGUAGGAAAACCAGUAGGUUUGAUUUUUUUUUAACUCCUUCACCUUCCUCCAUGAGUAGAGGCAGCCUGAGGCCCUCACCAGAUGCAGAUGCCCAACCUUGAACUUUCCAACCAUUCAGAGUCAUUAGCCAAAUAAACCUUUUAUCUUUAUAAAUUACCUGAUAACAUCCAGAAUAUGUAAAGAACACCUACAACUCGGCCGGGUGCGGUGGCUCACGCCUGUAAUCCCAGCACUUUGGAAUCACUUGAACCCAGGAGGCGGAGGUUGCGGUGAGCCGAGAUCUCGCCAUUGCACUCCAGCCUCAGCCUCCCGAGUAGCUGGGACUACAGGUGCACACCACCAUGCCCAGCUAAUUUUUGUGUUUUUAGUAGAGAUGGGGUUUCCCCACGUUGGCCAGGCGGUAUACACAUUUUUCUAUUAUUCUUAUAUGAAAUACAUGCAAUAGACAAAUUCAUGGAGACAGAAAGUAGAUUAGAGGCUACCAGGAGUGGAAGGAGGGGAGAAUGGGGAUUUAUUAUCCAAUGAGUGCAGUGUUUCUAUUUGUUUUUGUUUUUGUUUGAGACAGGGUCUCGCUCUGUCAUCCAGUUUCUAUUUGGGAUGAUGAAAACGUUUUGAAAAUAAGGCCAGUCCAGCUCCCAACCCCAAGCAGGGAGCAACUUGCUCAGUCCACGUUGUGAUAGCUCCUCGCUGCCACAAGGUGGUGUAACCUAUAAUCUCUCUGGGAAAAAAAAAAAUCAGCUUUUUUUUUUCACCUAUGCCUCUCCCCACCCCCUCUGGGUUCGUUUUGUCUUCCAGAUUGCUGGACUCGCUGAAGAGAGACUACGCAGGAAAGCCCCAGCCACCCAUCAAAUCAGAGAGAAGGAAUCCACCUUCUUACGCUAUGGCAGGGACUCUUAAUCAGAAAUUGGAUACAUUGUUGUAAAAAAUCCAAGCCACGUGGAAGUGUAUAAAAUCUUGGAACUAGAAAUACAUUUGCUGAAAAAUUCAUUAGAGGCUCUCAACAGCAGAAUGGAUGAAGCAGAAGAAAAAAUCAGUGAACUCAAAGGCAGGUGAUUUGAAAAUACACAGAGGAGAAAAAAGAACAAAAAGAGGAUCCUAAAAGCAAAUAACAUGUAACAGAGCUCCAGUUCAUCUGGCAACAGACUUCUCAACAUGCACCACCACCAGACCCACCUUACAAGAAAUGCUAAAGGGAAUUCAAUAAGAAAGAAAAACACUAAUGUGCAAAAAGAAAACAUUUGAAGAUGUAAAACCCACUGGUAAGCAUUGAACAAGACAUCCAGCCUCUCUUGGGUGUCAGUUUGCUCUCUGGUAAAUUGGGAAAUACACCAGUCUCACCAGUUGUUUCUAAUCCUGAGGUUUUCAAUUAUGGAGUGGAAACCCACGAAGCCUACAAGCAAAGGUCUCUGGCUAGCGACAUCACUGAUGAGCACACUACUUUAAACACUGUACGUAGAUGUAACACUACUUUUUUUUUUUUUUUUUUUUUUUUUUUGAGACGGAGUCUCGCUCUGUCGCCCAGGCUGGAGUGCAGUGGCGGGAUCUCGGCUCACUGCAAGCUCCGCCUCCCGGGUUCACGCCAUUCUCCCGCCUCAGCCUCCCGAGUAGCUGGGACUACAGGCAAAGUGCUGGGAUUACAGGCGUGAGCCACCGCGCCCGGCCGAUGUAACACUACUUUAAACACUUUACCUAAUUGGGUAAAGAUAUCCACGUAGCCAAUAUCACUCACUCCAAAUCCCGACUGCCAUGUAGAAGGAAAGGGGAAUCUAUUAUAAGGGCUCUGGUCACUUGGGCCUCCUGGAUCCCAAGGACAGAGCUGUAGCUGCUCUCGUCCACAGAUUCCCAUCUGCUCCUUUCUGCCUCUUGGCUCUGUUCUCUCUCACUGCUUGCCAGGGACUGCUUUGUCCUAAUUACAGGUGGGUGGACUCAUAGUCCUCAGGCCUAGGUGACCAUGUGGUUUACCAUCUCCGUCUUUUCAUUUCACUCCAUUUCCCUACUUUCCCUUUUUUUCUGAUAGUUUGUCCAGAGGGUCUGCAUUAUAAGUUAUUCUUUUAUUCAACAUUAAUAAAAAUUUCAUUCAUCACUACUGCACUACUAAUAUCAGAGCCCACCACUCACAGCACAAGAGACAUUGGCUUCCACCUUUGGUAACAGAUGAUUGCCUAUGUUUAUUUCCCUUCCCAGGCGGUAACACUGGAUGUAAUGUUAGGGCAUCUAUGGGAUAGGGAGAUCUUAGCGCUGGUCUAAGGAAUACAAGUGUUACGCACAGCUCCUCGUCCCCUCCCUGCCUGCCCAGGGCCAGCAUCAGGGGCUGUCAUCACUGGGGGAUGUUCAGCGUGCCAGCCAUCCUGAAGGGCUGGAUGGAUAGGGUGCUGUGCCAGGGCUUUGCCUUUGACAUCCCAGGAUUCUACGAUUCCGGUUUGCUCCAGGUAUGUGCUCUUGGAUAAGGAUCACUAUGGAUAGUUGGAGGGAGGGGACAGAGGAUGCGUCUUCUAUCAAGUUAUAUUUCUAGUUUCCUUCCUUUUCUUAGCAAAUAUCGAUUGAGCACCCACUAUGUACAAAGCACCAUGUGCUGCACACGGGUGGACACAGCAUCGUUUCUGAAAUCAUGGAGCUUUUUGUCUGGUGGGGCUGCGAACACAUCCACAGCAUACUACACGCAUGGCAAACAAGGGAGUGGGUCAGGUGUCAGGUGACGGGGGACCUGGGCAACCUUAUGUGGGCAACCCGGUGGCCAGCCCUGGCUCCAGAGAGAGUAUCUCCCUGGUGCAGAGCCCAGCCCUGGCCUGGCACAAGUUCACCCCCUUGAGCAUCAUGUGCCUGCUGUGAGAAAAGACCAUGCGACACCCACGUGGCAGGAUGAGGAGGGCAUGGAAUCUGGUAGAUGUGCCACAUGUGGUAGCUAUGAAUUCUUACUAAAACAAUGAUUUUUAAGGCUGGGUGCAGUGGCUCACGCCUGUAAUCCCAGCAAUUUGGGAGGCCGAGGAGGGUGGAUCACUUGAGGCCAGGAGUUCAAGACCAGCCUGGCCGACAUGGUGAAACCCCAUCUCUACUAAAAAUACAAAAAUUAGCCGGGCAUUGGUGCUACCACUUACUGAGCAGCCCUGUGUGCUGGGAACCUUGUCCUGUGGUCAGUGCCUCGGCCGUAUCCAUCACACAUGGUGUCAUGGAAACCAGGUUUCCACCAGCAACCUGGGCAUGUUAGAGCUUCUGUGUCUGCAAAUGCUUUACUUGACAGAUUUGAAAAGCUUGACCAAUAGGGAAAACAUGCCCUAAUUAUAGCUUUUGAUAUGGUUUGGGCAGAAGCUAAGCCAAAGCACUGCCCUUGGACCCUGGCAAGUGGCACCCCAGGCCCUGCAUUCUGAUGGCCGCAUGCUGGUCUCUGCUGGCCAUGCCAACCCCCACAUCUUGGUGCCUGCGUGAGUGUCCCUGGGCCUGAAAUGUGGCCGAGUAGUGGCCACCUGCCAAAGGGAAGGUGGUGGGCAGAGCAGUUCCAACGUGCUGGGGUGUCCCACGAAGGAACCCCUGGUGAGGGGUGGCAGAGGGAGGGAGUGGGGAGCAGACUCCAGGUCAGGGGCUCCAGGGAACCCAGAAACCUAGGGGUCAACUGUUCUUCCAGGUUGUUUAAGGGAGGUUUGUCGAGACAGGGGGAGAGCUCGUUCUUGAGGGGUAGGGAGUUUGCUGGGAAAAUGCACGCGUCACCCCUUUUCUGUGAACUCUCUCUAGGUGCACGUGCCUUGCCCAUGUCCUAUUGGUUUGGUAUUUUUUAAUUUUCUAUUUGUCAGUGCUCUUCAUAUAUCAGAGAAAUUAAUCCUAUU
rnacentral:lncRNA from 1 species